GAGAAAGAUUUUUGAAGAAGAAGAUGAUCCAGGAAGGGAUCCUGAGUAUGAUCGGAUGGGGACUGAGGUCCCAUCCUUUUUUGGGAAUCCCGUUUUAAUGUAAAUAGGGUGAAAUUAGAAAGUCAUGAAUAGUUUGUGAAAUACUUUGAGUUAUGCUCUGUAUAAAAGUAUGGUUGUGAAUUUCAAUAUGAAAGAUAUGGCCUUACUUUUCUGUCUCAUCGAUUUACUGUCUGGGGAUUUAUAACUGCUUCCGCAUGUGCUUAAUAAAUGAAAGGGUCGGCGAUACAUAGUCCUGUGAUAUCGCAUUAUAAAAUCGACCAAGUGAGAAGGAUGUGUGCGUGCCCGAGGAUUGGGUCAUGACAAUAGGCGCAUCGAUGAAAAGCCCUACUUAUUUAAUUGAAAACAAAAUCAGAAAUUUGGGAUGUCACACUUGAGUUGGCCUAUGAUUGGAUCUGGCCUAACGGCCUGGCCCAACUCUCCAUUUUUCAUAAAUAAAAAUAAAUAACAUGUAAUAAUUAAUCAAUUAAUU
rnacentral:lncRNA from 1 species